CCAUGCGGGAGCAGCUCACGUUCAUGGGCACCACUGGGGAUGGAUGGGAGGGAGGACCUGGAGGCCUUGGGAUCAGACUGUCUGACCCCCACCCUCUCCAAGCCCCUACCCAAAGUGUGAUGGAUGGGAAAACAGGCCCAGAGAGGGGACGGCUCUUAGACAGUUCUACGAGGAUGUUUUACAUGAGUUACUCCAUUUAAAUCCAUCAGACUCUGAGCUCCAGGGCAGGCACCAUGCCUGCUUCUCAGUGUCUGUUGAGCCCAGCAUAGAGCUUGGCAGAUGAAAUGAGUGCUAAAUAAAUGAUUGAAUGAAUGAAUGAGUUUUUUUUUUAAACAGAGGUACUGGGGAUUGAACCCAGGACCUUGUGCAUGCUAAGCAUGCACUCUACCACUGAGCUUUACCCCCUCCUGAAUAAAUAUUCUUAACCAUAAUAAGCUACCAUCUGCUGAUCAUGUUUGUCACGUACCAGGUAAUUCAUUCAAUCAUUUGACAAGUAUUUAUGACCUACUCAAACAACCAGAUACAGAAACAAUAAGGAAAAAAACCCCCACAAAUACCUAGCUUCUUGGAGCUUACAUUCUAGCUGGGUAAAGAGGCAAUAAAUAUGUAAAAUACACCCAAGUGUCAGAGUAGACUGAAGGGAAAUCAAGCAGGUGAGAGCAGAAUGUGUGUGGUUGGGGAGUGGCGGGUGGAGAUUUGAAAAGGAUGGUGAAGGCAGCCUUGCUCUCUCCCUCAUGAUGACCCCAUGACGUGGACAUGACUAAACCCAUCUUACAGUUUUGAAGACCGAAGCUCUGAGAGGUGAAGGUGUCUGCAGUGGCUGGGCUGGGAUUUUAACCACUAAGUCGGUGGGAAAACUGAGACCUGCAGAGAGAAAGCAGCUUGCCAGCCAGCGGUGGCAGAACCCACUGCACCUGGCUCUCCAAGUGCGCUCCGUAAAGGGGGUCACUCUCAUAGAGGGGCAGUUCUCCAGGUCUGUGGAUGGAGCCAACUGAGGCCCACAGAGGCAAGGUCUGUCCAGGUCACCUCUCUGAUGCUAGCUUGCUGCAGCUCUACGAUUUCCUCCCCAUCCCUGGGCCCCCAGUCAUCUUUUGAAUACAGAGCAGGUUGAAGACACAUGAAGGAAAGGAAAGCACCCUCAGCAAGGAUGCUCUCGGAGCCAGGCAUUGUGACCUGUGUUAUUUCAUUUCAUCUUAACGACCGCCUAUCUAGGGCAUUCAUCACCCUCUCCUACAGAGCCCGCACCAGGCACGGGGCAUCUGAGGUAAACGCGGCACGUUCCUGCCUCCCAGUGAGGAGCCUCAGCUCUGGUUUGAGAGACAAGUUCUAAAUUCCAGCUGCACCCCUCCCUGCCAGCUGUGGGAGCUUCUCCAAGGCCCAGCCUCCUGGACUAUGGAAUGAGAGCAGCGUAGUGGCCUGCAGUCUGCCGUGAGGCUUAGACGAGGUGGCUUUCUGAUUCCCCACAGACAUCAUUCCAGAUGGUCACCAGUCUCCUGGAGACAGUGCAUCCGCCCGCCCCCUACUCCCACAGAAGGCCCUGCCCUCUCCUGCAGAGAGAAAAAGGCAAACCAUC